rnacentral:rRNA from 1 species
CUGCUAAUACCGAAUACGUCUUUUCAUCGCAUGGUGAGAAGAAGAAAAGGAACGGCCUCUACACAAAGCGGUCGCCGAAGGAGGGGUUUUGCGUCUGAUUAGCUAGUUGGAGGGGUAACGGCCCAACAAGGCGACGAUCAGUAGCCCGGUCUGAGAGGAUGAACGGCCACAUUGGGACUGAGACACGGCCCAGACUCCUACGGGAGGCAGCAGUGGGGAAUCUUCCGCAAUGGACGAAAGUCUGACGGAGCAACGCCGCGUGAGUGAAGACGGUCUUCGGAUUGUAAAGCUCUGUUAUACGGGACGAACGGCAAGGUGGUAAAUAGCCAUCAUGAGUGACGGUACCGUAAGAGAAAGCCACGGCUAACUACGUGCCAGCAGCCGCGGUAAU